rnacentral:ncRNA from 2 species
AAGAAAUGUUUGGUUUAUGGUCGCAGAGGGUUUGUUUCGAAGGAGGCAGAUGUCGGCUGCGUGAAAUGACAAGCCGGUGCGAGGCCGGUGCGGUCUUACCUCCACUGUAUGCGGAAUUUGUCCGCGAGUCAGGACUGUCAGCCAUGAAGCAGGUUUUGCA